rnacentral:lncRNA from 12 species
UAAAGCCCCCCACCUGUUGGCUGCAUUUCUGUUAGCUGCCUAGCUUCUUUGAGGAAGAAUUUACCUUUACUGGCAGCCCAGAAGGCUGGGAAGGAUGCACACUCACCUGCCAGAGGUGGGGUGCUCUUGGCUACCCUGAGGUUCAUUGAACAGGUCUUUGGCCCUGCUUUGCUUCCUCUCUGCAAUCCUGCAAACCCCCUUGCUUGGGGCCUUUGUGAGCAACCAGCAGUACUCAGGUCACACAUCCAAAGACAAAGGAUGCUUCAGGGUCAGGGCCCAGAAAGAGUCACAGAAAACACCUCAGGUACCAUCUUCCUGUCAACACAUCCUGCAUUUUUUAAUGCGUGUGUCUGGAAAUGUAUCGUGUUGGACUCAGGAAAUUAUAAUUUAGAUCGAACCUCUUGCAAAUCAUUGCUUCUGAGCUGGCGCUGCCGAUUUUCACAGUUUUGUCUGUCCCUUAUGCUAGGACCGUCCGCCGUUCAUACGAGUCCAUCUGUGAGGAUGUACAUCUUAUGUGUUCCCCACAGUCUGAAGCUUAAAUCCAUGGGAAAUCACCCAGCAUCAUUUCAUGAGUCCCAAACAACAAACACUUCUCAUUUAAUUAAGUUGGUGAUGGGAUUGAUGACAUCAACGGAACCAGUUCCCCUGAGAGUGCAGGGAAGACUCUGGGAGAGUCUUCCGCAGUGGAAGCGCUCCUUGCGGGCCACACCAUGGUCACUGGCCACGUGGAAGAUGCAAAGAUGCGGGUUGAAUGAUUCCCAGGAAACAGAACCAUGGAAUGAGGAAGCUCUUCAAGCUUGUGCUGGAAAAGAUGAUGUUCCCCAAAGGAAGGUGGGCCCCUUGCCCCUGGUUCCUGGGAGUGGGCCCUGGGGCCACACCGGGCAGUCUACAAUAGCCAUGCCACCCGGCAUCUGCUUGAUCUCGGGAGAGGAUAGAGACAAAGGCCAGCCAUGUGGGGGGGCAGCUGUGAGGACGCCACUGAUCCCCCUCCCCCUGGGAAAACUCUGGACAUCACGAUGUAGGCACAUGUGCUUGCUAGCAGUACUCCAGCAUCUCGGCACCCAUUACUGCUGGCAGAAGUUCACGCCAUCUGAGCGACUUCUCACACUGGAGUUCUGA